rnacentral:rRNA from 1 species
GAUGAACGCUAGCUACAGGCUUAACACAUGCAAGUCGAGGGGCAUCAGUUUGGCUUGCUUGCAAACCAAAGCUGGCGACCGGCGCACGGGUGAGUAAACACGUAUCCAACCUGCCUCGUACUCGGGGAUAGCCUUUCGAAAGAAAGAUUAAUACCCGAUAGCAUAGUAUUUCCGCAUGGUUUCACUAUUAAAGAAUUUCGGUUAUCGAUGGGGAUGCGUUCCAUUAGAUAGUUGGCGGGGUAACGGCCCACCAAGUCAACGAUGGAUAGGGGUUCUGAGAGGAAGGUCCCCCACAUUGGAACUGAGACACGGUCCAAACUCCUACGGGAGGCAGCAGUGAGGAAUAUUGGUCAAUGGACGAGAGUCUGAACCAGCCAAAGUAGCGUGAAGGAUGACUGCCCUAUGGGUUGUAAACUUCUUUUAUACGGGAAUAAAGUGGAGUAUGCAUACUCCUUUGUAUGUACCGUAUGAAUAAGGAUCGGGCUAAACUCCGUGCCAGCCGCCGCUGUAAG